rnacentral:rRNA from 1 species
CCUACGGGAGGCAGCAGUGAGGAAUAUUGGUCAAUGGGCGAGAGCCUGAACCAGCCAAGUCGCGUGAGGGAAGACGGUCCUAUGGAUUGUAAACCUCUUUAGGCGGGGAGCAAUGCCGGGCACGCGUGCCCGGAGGGAGAGUACCCGCAGAAUAAGCAUCGGCUAACUCCGUGCCAGCAGCCGCGGUAAUACGGAGGAUGCGAGCGUUAUCCGGAUUUAUGGGGUGUAAAGGGUGCGUAGGCGGAUUUUUAAGUCAGCGGUAAAAUGUCCGGGCUCAACCCGGGCCGGCCGUUGAAACUGGGGAUCUUGAGUGGGCGAGAAGUAUGCGGAAUGCGUGGUGUAGCGGUGAAAUGCAUAGAUAUCACGCAGAACUCCGAUUGCGAAGGCAGCAUACCGGCGCCCGACUGACGCUGAGGCACGAAAGCGUGGGGAUCGAACAGGAUUAGAUACCCCUGUAGUC